AUUGAACGCUGGCGGCAUGCUUUACACAUGCAAGUCGAACGGCAGCACGGGAGCUUGCUCCUGGUGGCGAGUGGCGAACGGGUGAGUAAUGCGUCGGAACGUGCCGAGUAAUGGGGGAUAACGCAGCGAAAGUUGUGCUAAUACCGCAUAAUCUCCGAGGAGGAAAGCGGGGGACCUUAGGGCCUCGCGUUAUUCGAGCGGCCGACGUCUGAUUAGCUAGUUGGCGGGGUAAGAGCCCACCAAGGCGACGAUCAGUAGCGGGUCUGAGAGGAUGAUCCGCCACACUGGGACUGAGACACGGCCCAGACUCCUACGGGAGGCAGCAGUGGGGAAUUUUGGACAAUGGGGGCAACCCUGAUCCAGCCAUGCCGCGUGUCUGAAGAAGGCCUUCGGGUUGUAAAGGACUUUUGUCAGGGAGGAAAACGCAUUCGCGAAUAACGGAUGUGGAUGACAGUACCUGAAGAAUAAGCACCGGCUAACUACGUGCCAGCCGCCGCAGUAAUAC
rnacentral:rRNA from 1 species